rfam:Pseudozyma hubeiensis SY62 DNA, scaffold: PHS12.
GGCCCUAUAGCUCAGUGGUAGAGCGUCGGCUUCCAGCUAUAAAAUUGGCGAAAAUGUUAGAUUUGGACCCAAUCUUGAGCGUUCCGAAGGUCUUCCGUUCGAUCCGGGAUGGGGUCA